rnacentral:miRNA from 10 species
AGCAGCGUCGACCUCAAACCUGU